UACGAAGGUGGCAAGCGUUACUCGGAUUUACUAGGCGUAAAGGGCAGGUAGGUGGUUUGAUAAGUCUGUUGUGUAAGCUCCCGGCUUAACUGGGAGAGGUCAACAGAAACUGUCAGGCUUGAGUAUAGGAGAGGGUACUGGAAUUCCCGGAGUAGCGGUGAAAUGCGCUGAUAUCGGGAGGAACACCAAUGGCGAAAGCAGGUACCUGGACUAUUACUGACACUCAGCUGCGAAAGCUAGGGGAGCAAACAGG
rnacentral:rRNA from 1 species